CACGUAGGGGCGAGCGUUGUCCGGAAUUACUGGGCGUAAAGGGCGCGCAGGCUGUUAUGCGAGUCUGCUGUGAAAUGUACCGGCUCAACCGGUGCCUUGCGGCGGAUACUGCAUAGCUGGAGUACUGGAGAGGGAAGUGGAAUUCCCGGUGUAGCGGUGAAAUGCGUAGAUAUAGGGAGGAACACCGGUGGCGAAGGCGGCUUUCUGGCCAGUUACUGACGCUCAUGCGCGAAAGCUGGGGUAGCGAACCGGAUUAGAUACCCCGGUA
rnacentral:rRNA from 1 species